rnacentral:piRNA from 3 species
UCUAGUCUGGCACGGUGAAGAGA